UACGUAGGGUGCGAGCGUUAAUCGGAAUUACUGGGCGUAAAGCGUGCGCAGGCGGCGCGUUAAGACAGGUGUGAAAGCCCCGAGCUUAACUUGGGAAUUGCGCUUGUGACUGGCGUGCUGGAGUGUGGCAGAGGGAGGUGGAAUUCCACGUGUAGCAGUGAAAUGCGUAGAGAUGUGGAGGAACACCGAUGGCGAUGGCAGCCUCCUGGGCCAGCACUGACGCUCAUGCACGAAAGCGUGGGGAGCAAACAGG
rnacentral:rRNA from 1 species